rnacentral:pre_miRNA from 1 species
GUUGAUGGGAAUGUUGUUUGGCUCGAGGCGAUAUAGGUUUGAUCUUUUAUCUUUGACUUCUGGGAUUAUUUUUUCUCGUGAAAAUUCAAAGAUAUAUAUAUAUAGCCCUAUGUAAUCUCGGACCAGGCUUCAUUCCCGUCAAC